rnacentral:miRNA from 2 species
CGACUAGAGGAACAUUCAGCAU